UACGAAGGGGGCUAGCGUUGUUCGGAAUUACUGGGCGUAAAGCGCACGUAGGCGGAUCUUUAAGUCAGUGGUGAAAUCCCGAGGCUCAACCUCGGAACUGCCUUUGAUACUGGGGAUAUCGAGUCCGGGAGAGGUGAGUGGAACUGCGAGUGUAGAGGUGAAAUUCGUAGAUAUUCGCAAGAACACCAGUGGCGAAGGCGGCUCACUGGCCCGGUACUGACGCUGAGGUGCGAAAGCGUGGGGAGCAAACAGG
rnacentral:rRNA from 1 species